UCCAACCCAUGGUUCCAACGGUUCCAACCGUAGAGUUUCGGUAUUCUUUGUAUUCAAUCACGUGACUUUUUCGGGUAGUUUUACUUCCGGUGAAUUAUUUGGUGGUCUACCAAACCAAAAUGGCCGCCGUAGUGCAAGGACCUGCUCUAGAUUUAAGUAUACCAACACUUUAGACACGAUUUCACUUUCGCGAUACCUCCAAAAAGUUAGUUUGUGUGAUGGCAUCGAGUCGACCCUUAUGCGUUGAAGAAGAAAGAUUUCGGUACGGAUUUGGAAUUGUAUCCAGCAGUAGAGUUUCCCGACAUCCUUCUACACCACGAAACAGAUGAAAGCAUGGAAGAGUAUGGAAGCCUACAACUUCUUUGUGUGGUUGGGUGAAAGACCUUGGCGUGAAAAGGCUGCCCGACAAGUCCUGCAUUGUUUAUGCCCGUUUCAACCAUUCUCAGAGAUCUACGGAGACUCUACUGAAGACAUGGCUAUUAGUGAAAGAAGAUGGAGAGGCUUGCAGAAUCCUGCUCUCACGUUGGAGCUGUACUAUAUGCCUUGGAGACAGGUGUGAGAAUGAGAGUCAGUCACUUGCACAAUGGAGAAAAGUAAAUGGCUCAUGCCAUCCCAUAUCAACAAGAUCCCAGUGACUGCUGUAUCAGAUAUCGACUUUGCACCUGCAAGAGCUAAGAAGAAGAGACUUGAUGAUGCUAUUUCUGGCUCAAGCCCUGAACAAAGCAAAUCUCCCUCCCCAAAAAGUGCCUGCUCUGCUGUACGCCCUGGCUCAGGUGUUUACACAAAGUUCUUAGAUGAGCUGAACCAAAACUUGGAAGUGCAGCCUUGAUGGUGCAAGAGAAAUUUCACAAGAGAUUUAUCCCCAAGUCAGCAACCACCAGUCUCCCAAAGCCCAUCCUGGACUACUAAACACCAGACAGUGUCAGCCAGAGACCUGCAUGGUUUGUGUGAGCAGUUCAAGAUGCCAGAUCUGACCCCUGCUCAUAUAGCAGCCGUAGAGCGAGAGACGGCUGCUAUAAACAAACCAUUAAACAAACCAUUCGGACGAAUGCAGACAAGCCAGCAAAAAGCCUUAUCAAGGCAAUCUGUUACCCGGAAUCAAACAGAUUCUCUACUGCAGCUACAAGGUAUGGAUGUAAGCAUGAGGCACAGGCACGGAAGGACUACGAAAAAAUUAUGAGAGAGUUACAUGACGGCUACUCUAUAGCAGAUUCUGGCCUUUGUCUCAAUGCAAAGUUGCCCUUCAUGGGAGCGUCACCAUAUGGGAUUGUUGUAUGCAGUUGUCACGGAACUGGAGUGUGUGAAAUCAAGUGCCCACAUUGUCAUCAGGACAAGGAGAACAUCAGAGCUUGUGCCGGAGAAACGGGUUUCUGCCUGACGAAGGACGGUGACAAGAUAAAGCUGGACAGAUCACAUGCCUACUACUAUCAAAUUCAAGCACAGCUCUUUAUUUUGCAAGUAGACUGCUGUGAUUUUAUUGUAUGGAACAAGAAUGACAUUUUUAUAGAGAAUUUUGCCUGACGUGGAGUUUUGGGAUAGCGUCAUCCCUAAGGCUGAACGUUUUUUUUCGGUAAUGUAUCCUCCCUGAAGUUUUGGCAAAGAAAUUCACCAAGCAAGUUUCUGCAUCUCUGCUCUCUAGCAGAUCUCCUUAGAAGUGAAAAAAACACAGGAUACAUUUUAAUAGUUCAGUGUUUUAUUUACAUUUGUUUGCUUGAAGUAUAGCCUUUCCAUUAUUUUGCUAGAAUGGUCCAUCAUAUAAUAUUUCUCCCUUCUUAUUGAUGCCACGAAUUUGAGACUUAUAAUGCCACAUACAGUAAUAGUGUAAUAUAAUGUACAUAGUAUUUUUGUAUCAAAAAUAAUUAUAUUGUAAAUUAAGACCGUAUUUUCAUUUCAUAUUUAUGAAGCCAACAAUUUAAUAGUUGUAUUAGUGUAUAGAUUACUCUUAGUCAUAGAAGCUUAUGUUACAGGUUGUAUAUUUAUCGGUCAAAAGCUAAAUAAAUAAGUCAUAAACCAUGGCAUUCUUGAGCUUUAAAUUGUCCUAAAAUAACAGUUUGUGAUCGGGCAGUAAUAUUUUCUCGAUCUACCAAACUUUCAAGAAGUGAUCACUGCAAACUCGUGCAUGUUUUGACUCUAAUCCCUUCGACUUCAGCGAGAUGUUCGAGAGCCACUUUUCGUCGUCUUUUUCUAAAAUCCCUUGUUUCUGUACCGUGUUUUUUAACUUCACAGGGAACUCUGAAGUUACUUCUAUCCGAUUCACGGUUUGAACGGUUCGAAGAGCCUAAAACAACGUGUUCUUCAUAAAAAAAUCGUGUGUGUGUGUGUGUGUGAGCUGCAGGCUGCUUGGCACAUGCACUUUGACCAUCUUUCCGACUUACUUGUGCGACAGGCCUGCUAUUACAUAGUAGUAAGAUAAGAUGCGCCUAAAUGUUUUUCAUUAAUCUGUGUUAGCAUUCCUGUUUGUACUACUGUAGAGCAUCUCAUAUGUAGUACCCUAAUGUAAAUAACACAGUCCAAAACAAAUGUCUGCAUGAAAUAUUUAUUUCAAAUAAAACACUGCCAGAUUACCUACAAUUUAUCUAAUUUAUAU